rnacentral:misc_RNA from 1 species
GAUCAUUACUGAAUUGGCUUAAUGGCACCAAAAUGUGUUUUUUCUUUGAAACCAAACCUGGGCUUUGGGCGGUGGGCCCCAGCCCUGCCCGCCCAGAGGUUUUAAACUAACAACCAAUUUUUAAUCAACUGGUCACACCAGAAUAAUUACUAAUAGUCAAAACUUUCAACAACGGAUCUCUUGGUUCUCGCAUCGAUGAAGAACGCAGCGAAAUGCGAUACGUAAUAUGAAUUGCAGAUAUUCGUGAAUCAUCGAAUCUUUGAACGCACAUUGCGCCCUCUGGUAUUCCGGAGGGCAUGCCUGUUUGAGCGUCGUUUCUCCCUCAAACCGCUGGGUUUGGUGUUGAGCAAUACGACUUGGGUUUGCUUGAAAGACGGUAGUGGUAAGGCGGGAUCGCUUUGACAAUGGCUUAGGUCUAACCAAAAACAUUGCUUGCGGCGGUAACGUCCUACCACGUAUAUC